GGGCGAGUAGCUUAGCCUGGUGGAGCACAAGUGCUUAAUCGCCUUAUAAGCGAGGGGUCGAGGGUUCAAAUCCCUCCUCGCCCA
rnacentral:tRNA from 1 species